CGGAGGAUCCAAGCGUUGUCCGGAUUUAUUGGGUUUAAAGGGUGCGUAGGCGGAUAUGCAAGUCAGAGGUGAAAGCUAGCAGCUUAACUGUUAAAUUGCCUUUGAAACUGCAUAUCUUGAGUAUAGUUGAGGUGGGCGGAAUGUAUCAUGUAGCGGUGAAAUGCUUAGAUAUGACACAGAACUCCGAUUGCGAAGGCAGCUCACUAAGCUAUAACUGACGCUGAGGCACGAAAGCGUGGGUAGCGAACAGGAUUAGAUACCCUGGUAGUCCACGCCCUAAACUUUGCAUACUCGUUGUUGGCGAUACACUGUCAGCGACUAAGCGAAAGCGUUAAGUAUGCCACCUGGGGAGUACGACCGCAAGGUUG
rnacentral:rRNA from 1 species